UGGUACAGUCCAGCAUUAUUACACAUUCAUGUUUAUUACAAUACGAGAAAUGCUACUGAAAGGUAAAUAACACUCAUAAUAUGAAAUUGAUACAUAAAAAUAUUAUUGUUUUCAUUAUCAGCUAUAAUCUAGAACGUACAUAGCUAUUACUUCAGAUUUUUGAGUGAGGAUUGCUACCUGGAAUUUCAGCAAAAAAAGAAGAACCUAUGAGUAUGCUUAAACGAGGAGCAAGCAAGCAAAGCAACCAAAUAACCAGUAAAACCCAGAAACUCAGGAAAUUUUGAGAAGCAACUAAUGAAAAUAGAUCUCUAUAGCAACUCAAAAUGCAUAUUCAAUCAGUCUAUCUUCAACUUGUAUUGAUUAUUAAAGAAAGUUUAAUCAGAAGAAACAACUUGAAAAAGAAUUUUCUGAAAAAUGUAUGAAAGCGUCAUGUUUAUCUAUAUCUAAAAGUUGUAUUCAAAAUCUCGAAAAGCGUCCAGAAGAUCCCUAAUCUUCUCAAAAAUAUGCUCGAAAAAAAUCUCCUGUUUAAAAUGAUCAAAUGUUUCUUUUACAAUUGAAGCCUUAGGAAACAUGAAUCUUUUUAUUUUUCUUUUAGCCCCUUAUCCAUUUUUCAGUUUUGCCUAAAUAGUCCUUGAUUUUCUAACUUGUGCCUCAAGUUUUGAGGCAGAAUUUGCACUUUGGACCUUCGUUAGAAGGUUCCAGAAGUUUGUUGCAAGAUUCCCUAUGUUCAAAUGUCUUUAAUACCCCGGUCCCCUUUUCCUAGUUACUGGCAUAAGUGUUUUAAAACCCUGGUUCUUAUUUAUUUGGUCAGAAAUUGACCCUAGUUAGUUACUUCAGGUUAUAGACCAAGAUCAAAUUCUUAAUUGCAAAUUAAAUUAUGCAGAAACAAACAACCCAGGGCUAGAAUUUAAUCUAUGCAACUAAUGGAUUCAAGCAAAUAUCUCAAUGUGGACUUUACAUUACUCAGCAACAAAUAUGAAACCAAUUAUCACAACCUUCAGAAUCACAUGGAUAUCAAUAGAUUUUGGGACCAGGAAAAUGAAAAAUCAGAGCAUGAUUAUUCAGGGGCACUCAUGAAUUUAGAAUUAAGCAAACUAUUUAGAAGUAGGUCAUUCAAUCUUAAACCCAAGACAUAUGGUGGAAAAGACAUCACUAACUAGAAAAACCCAAUAGAUGAGUAAAAGGGCAUGCAUGACAAAAUCAAUGAGACUUAGAAGCAAAUGGGAAAAAGAAACAAAACGAUUAGAGGAGGACCUAAAGCAACUAUAUAUGGAUCAUAAGGAUGAACAAAUUAAAACACUCAGCAUAAAACUAAAAGCAAUUGUAAGGAAGAAUACAUGAUUUAAAGUAAUUAAAAAAUGAAUAACAGAAAUUAAACACUCAAAAUAAGGAGACUUAGCAUAUUUAACAAAUGUAAAUAAAGAAAAUCAAGAGUAUUGAGAAAAGAGAACCAGGACAAGUAUAUGAUUCUAGAUGGAGAUGCCUACACAGAAUUUCAACUAUAAUAUACUUAAACAAAAAUAAGAAUAGAAGAUCAACAGAAGAGAACAAGGAUGAGCAUAUAGUAACUAUUCAUAAUUUUCCAAAUAUGAACAAAUGAAAACUCAGGAACAUGUAACUCUAUAUGGAAAUAACUAUCCAGAAUAUCUUGAAGAUGAACAGAUAGAGAACAAGUAACAAGAAAGAAAAUCAAAAGGCAAGAGAAGGCAUAUGAUUCCAGGAUGAACAGAUGAACUCAAACAAAUGAAAAUCAAAGAAAAUAAAAUCUAUCAGAACAUGGAAGCACACACAUAACAAUCAAGCACACGGGAACUUAACUUUUUUUUUUUUAGCAUUGCAACCCUAAAAAUAGGGUUUUCAAAUCUCCAGAUCUUUGACAUCUUCUGACAGGUCCUUUGGCCUUCUAAGGUCUUUGCCUUUCAUAUUGGAGAGGGGGAAAAGGGUUUCAGGGGAGGGUCAACUGGUUCUGAGACAUGGUGGGAUUUUAGAUUGGAUUUUCAGUCGUGUCUAGUGGUAUUCGAGGGUCGUGGGUGGCAUGGUUGUGGAUGGGGAUAUGAGACGGUCACCAUGGACCAAUUUCAGGGAAUUUAGCUGAGUUUAGGGCUUGGGUUAAGUUUCAAUUUGAUAUUGGAAACAAUAUGUUAUAAUUCGAAGGAUGAGGUUUAGAUGGUUGGGAAGAGGAGGAAGAGGUGGUUCAGGGGUGUUAUUUUGGGUUGAUUUAGGGUUGGUGUCGCCGGAGACGGCAGAACUAGUGACUCUUCUAUCUAAUAUUCGAUGAGUUGGGGAGGUGUUUGAAGGAAACUAAUGGUGGGAGGGGAAAGGGGAGGUUGAGAAGGUCUAGUGGUGUAAAUUUGGGGCUAUUGGGUGGCCGGCCGCCGCCGUGAGGUGAUUUCUGGCGGCGGUGUUAGGGUGGUUGAGGGGUGGUAGAUGGCGGUGGAAAGGUGGCAAAAGUGUGGGUGAUACACCGGCAUUAUAGAUACGAGGAAGGAGGUCGUU
rnacentral:lncRNA from 1 species